UACGUAGGGUGCGAGCGUUGUCCGGAAUUAUUGGGCGUAAAGAGCUCGUAGGCGGUCUGUCGCGUCGGUCGUGAAAACUUGGGGCUUAACCCUGAGCUUGCGGUCGAUACGGGCAUGACUGGAGUUCGGCAGGGGAGACUGGAAUUCCUGGUGUAGCGGUGAAAUGCGCAGAUAUCAGGAGGAACACCGGUGGCGAAGGCGGCCAUCUGGACCGCAACUGACGCUGAGGCGCGAAAGCGUGGGGAGCAAACAGG
rnacentral:rRNA from 1 species